rnacentral:tRNA from 1 species
GUAGCUAUGUCAGAAAUUUAUGAGUUAGCUUUAAGCGUUAAUUAUGGGUUUGUUGCCCUAGCUACU